rnacentral:piRNA from 1 species
UAGUAGGUACUCAGAAAAAUUUGGAUUU